rnacentral:rRNA from 1 species
GACGAACGCUGGCGGCGUGCCUAAUACAUGCAAGUCGAACGCAGUGGGGACGGGUGAGUAACACGUGGGUAACCUCCCAUCAGAGGGGAUAACACUUGGAAACAGGUGCUAAACCGAUACUGAUGGAUGAACCCGCGGUGCAUUAGCUAGUUGGUGAGGUAACGGCGCACCAAGGCCACGAUGCAUAGCAGACCGUAGGAGGUGAUCGGCCAUACUGCGACUGAGACACGGCCCAGACUCCUCCGGCGGACAGCAGUAGGGAAUCGUCGGCAAUAGACGAAAGUCUGACCGAGCAACGCCGCGUGAGUGAAGAAGGUUUUCGGAUCGUAAAACUCUGUUGUUAGAGAAGCGGUGUCUAACCAGAAAGCCACGGCUAACUACGUGCCAGCAGCCGCGGUAAUAC